rnacentral:miRNA from 1 species
AACAUUACUAUAAUAAUAAACAUGACAAGUGUUGAGUUUCUCAGUCCACUUGUCAUGUUUAUUAUUAUAGUAAUGUUU